rnacentral:tRNA from 1 species
GUUUUCGUAGUGUAGUGGUUAUCACGUUCGCCAUACACGCGAAAGGCCCCCGGUUCGAACCAGGGCGAAAACA